CCCAGACUCCUACGGGAGGCAGCAGUAGGGAAUCUUUCCACAAUGGACGAAAGUUUGAUGGAGCAACGCCGCGUGAGUGAAGAAGGUUUUGGAUUGUAAAACUCUGUUGUUGGAGAAGAAUGUAUCUGAUAGUAACUGAUCAGGUAGUGACGGUAUCCAACCAGAAAGCCACGGCUAACUACGUGCCAGCAGCCGCGGUAAUACGUAGGUGGCAAGCGUUGUCCGGAUUUAUUGGGCGUAAAGCGAGCGCAGGCGGUUUCUUAAGUCUGAUGUGAAAGCCUUCGGCUCAACCGAAGAAGUGCAUCGGAAACUGGGAAACUUGAGUGCAGAAGAGGACAGUGGAACUCCAUGUGUAGCGGUGAAAUGCGUAGAUAUAUGGAAGAACACCAGUGGCGAAGGCGGCUGUCUGGUCUGUAACUGACGCUGAGGCUCGAAAGCAUGGGUAGCAAACAGGAUUAGAUACCCUGGUAGUCCAUGCCGUAAACGAUGAGUGCUAGGUGUUGGAGGGUUUCCGCCCUUCAGUGCCGCAGCUAACGCAUUAAGCACUCCGCCUGGGGAGUACGACCGCAAGGUUGAAACUCAAAGGAAUUGACGGGGGCCCGCACAAGCGGUGGAGCAUGUGGUUUAAUUCGAAGCAACGCGAAGAACCUUACCAGGUCUUGACAUCCUUUGACCACUCUAGAGAUAGAGCUUUCCCUUCGGGGACAAAGUGACAGGUGGUGCAUGGUUGUCGUCAGCUCGUGUCGUGAGAUGUUGGGUUAAGUCCCGCAACGAGCGCAACCCUUAUUACUAGUUGCCAGCAUUUAGUUGGGCACUCUAGUGAGACUGCCGGUGACAAACCGGAGGAAGGUGGGGACGACGUCAAAUCAUCAUGCCCCUUAUGACCUGGGCUACACACGUGCUACAAUGGAUGGUACAACGAGUUGCGAGACCGCGAGGUUUAGCUAAUCUCUUAAAACCAUUCUCAGUUCGGAUUGUAGGCUGCAACUCGCCUACAUGAAGCCGGAAUCGCUAGUAAUCGCGGAUCAGCAUGCCGCGGUGAAUACGUUCCCGGGCCUUGUACACACCGCCCGUCACACCAUGAGAGUUUGUAACACCCAAAGCCGGUGAGGUAACCCUUCGGGGAGCCAGCCGUCUAAG
rnacentral:rRNA from 1 species